UGCCUUUAUCUGGGGGAUAGCCUUUCGAAAGGAAGAUUAAUACCCCAUAAUAUAAUGAACAGCAUCGUUUAUUAUUGAAAACUCCGGUGGAUAGAGAUGGGCACGCGCAAGAUUAGAUAGUUGGUGAGGUAACGGCUCACCAAGUCAAUGAUCUUUAGGGGGCCUGAGAGGGUGAUCCCCCACACUGGUACUGAGACACGAACCAGACUCCUACGGGAGGCAGCAGUGAGGAAUAUUGGACAAUGGGUGAGAGCCUGAUCCAGCCAUCCCGCGUGAAGGACGACGGCCCUAUGGGUUGUAAACUUCUUUUGUAUAGGGAUAAACCUUUCCACGUGUGGAAAGCUGAAGGUACUAUACGAAUAAGCACCGGCUAACUCCGUGCCAGCAGCCGCGGUAAUAC
rnacentral:rRNA from 1 species